rnacentral:rRNA from 1 species
AUGGUUCUCGUCCGCUACGGCAUCACCUACCUCAUCGAGCAUCCACCACCACCCAACGCCACCUCCCAAUACCUCGAGCUUGACGCCCACAUCGCCCUCUGGAUCUAUGCCACUCUCUCCAAUGUCAUGUGCGACCAUGUCGUCGGCGCCACCACCACAUACACCCUCUAGCACAAGAUUCAGGCCUUCUUUCUUGCCAAUCGCGAUGCGCGGUUCAUGAUCCUCAAUCGCCAAUAUCGCAACCUCAAGAAGGGCGAUCUUUCUGUGUCUAACUAUGCCCGCCGCAUGAAGCUCCUCACCGAUGCUCUCGCCGACAUCAACAAUGCGGUCACUGAGGUGGAUCUCACCACCCAAUUUCUCCAUGGCCUGGACAAGCGCCUCGACACCAUUCGAGUCGUCCUCGGUGAUCAAGGACUUCCCUUCGACACCGUCCUCUCCCGCGUCGUCCUGGCUGAGGAGUCCCAGGCGCAGUGCGCGUCUGAGGAGAGCGCCUCCGCCUUCGCUCUGCCUGGCAGUGGCCCCUCGGGCGGCAGUGGCCGUCCGAGCACCGAUCGCCCCACCGACUGUGCUGCGGGCGCUCCCUCUCUGUCGACUCCCGCUCCUGGAUGCGGGCGCGGUGACCGCUAUGGCGACAACGGUGACCGUGGCCGUGGGCGUGAUGACCCACAAGUAUAG